AAGAAAAAGGACCUCUAAUUUUAGGUCAGAUGUUGGCUAAAAAAAGAAAUUUCAAUAAAUGUAUUUAUAGUCUCUCCCUUGUGUAUAAAUAGGUGUUGUACUCUUUUUUUCACGUUAAAUGAAGAAUUUAUGCUUUAUCCAUAAUAUAAUCAUAAAAGAGUUUUGGAAGACUAAUAAAAAUAAAACAUUUGAAUAAAGUUUAUAUUUAUAGAUAAGAUAUCGUUGAUAUAAUGCGAUUCAUUUUGUGAACAACCUCUCAAACAAAUAAAAAUAUAAUUCUUC
rnacentral:lncRNA from 1 species